rnacentral:rRNA from 1 species
UCAGGAUGAACGCUAGCUACAGGCUUAACACAUGCAAGUCGAGGGGCAGCAUUGAGAUAGCUUGCUAUUCAGAUGGCGACCGGCGCACGGGUGAGUAACGCGUAUCCAACCUUCCCCCCAGUAGGGCAUAGCCCGGCGAAAGUCGGAUUAAUACCCUAUGUUUUCCGAGGAUGGCAUCUGAUUCGGAAGAAAGAUUGAUCGCUGUGGGAUGGGGAUGCGUCUGAUUAGGCAGUAGGCGGGGUAACGGCCCACCUAGCCGACGAUCAGUAGGGGUUCUGAGAGGAAGGUCCCCCACAUUGGAACUGAGACACGGUCCAAACUCCUACGGGAGGCAGCAGUGAGGAAUAUUGGUCAAUGGGCGAGAGCCUGAACCAGCCAAGUAGCGUGCAAGGAUGACGGCCCUAUGGGUUGUAAACUGCUUUUGGUGGGGAAUAAAGUGAGGCACGUGUGCCUUUUUGCAUGUACCCACAGAAUAAGGACCGGCUAAUUCCGUGCCAGCAGCUGC